ensembl:snoRNA SNORD116 Small nucleolar RNA SNORD116
UGAUUGAUGAUGACUCCUCAUAUGCAUUCCUUGGAAAAUCUGAACAAAAUGAGAACUCACUAUGAUUAAGAAAAAAAACA